GCGGGUUUAGCUCAGUUGGGAGAGCGUCAGACUGAAGUAAAACUUCGGUAGAAUUCAUUAUCUGAAGGUCAUGUGUUCGAUCCACAUAAACCGCA